GGCGUGGUAGCUCAGUUGGUUAGAGCGUCGGAUUCAUAACCCGGAGGUCGAGGGUUCAAAUCCCUCCCACGCUACAA
rnacentral:tRNA from 1 species